AACGAACGCUGGCGGCAGGCCUAACACAUGCAAGUCGAGCGAGGACUUCGGUUCUAGCGGCGGACGGGUGAGUAACGCGUGGGAAUGUGCCCUUCUCUACGGAAUAGCCCUGGGAAACUGGGAGUAAUACCGUAUACGCCCUAUUGGGGAAAGAUUUAUCGGAGAAGGAUCAGCCCGCGUUGGAUUAGGUAGUUGGUGGGGUAAUGGCCUACCAAGCCGACGAUCCAUAGCUGGUUUGAGAGGAUGAUCAGCCACACUGGGACUGAGACACGGCCCAGACUCCUACGGGAGGCAGCAGUGGGGAAUCUUAGACAAUGGGGGCAACCCUGAUCUAGCAUGCCGCGUGAGUGAUGAAGGCCUUAGGGUUGUAAAGCUCUUUCAGCUGGGAAGAUAAUGACGGUACCAGCAGAAGAAGCCCCGGCUAACUCCGUG
rnacentral:rRNA from 1 species